GACGAACGCUGGCGGCGUGCUUAACACAUGCAAGUCGAACGCUGAAGACCUGGCUUUUGUUGGGUUGGAUGAGUGGCGAACGGGUGAGUAACACGUGAGUAACCUGCCCUCUUCUUUGGGAUAACGCCCGGAAACGGGUGCUAAUACUGGAUAUUCACUGAUCUUCGCAUGGGGGUUGGUGGAAAGGUUUGUUCUGGUGGGGGAUGGGCUCGCGGCCUAUCAGCUUGUUGGUGGGGUGAUGGCCUACCAAGGCUUUGACGGGUAGCCGGCCUGAGAGGGUGACCGGUCACAUUGGGACUGAGAUACGGCCCAGACUCCUACGGGAGGCAGCAGUGGGGAAUAUUGCACAAUAGGCGAAAGCCUGAUGCAGCGACGCCGCGUGAGGGAUGGAGGCCUUCAGGUUGUAAACCUCUUUCGCUCAUGGUCAAGCCGCAACUGUGGGUUGUGGUGAGGGUAGUGGGUAAAGAAGCGCCGGCUAACUACGUG
rnacentral:rRNA from 1 species